GUAAGCUCCCCCUCUAGUGUUCACUGCUCAUCAGAUUAUUCCUCCAACAAAUAAGACAGAGAACUGCCUGUUUUUUUGGUUCCCUAUCGAAGGACGGAGCUUGGAACAACAUUUAUAACGGUUUAAUGACACAAAGAGUAAAAGGUGCUGCAGCCCAUCCAUCUGCUGAAUGUUGCCAAGUAACAGCCAUCCAUGGAACAUGGAAAAAUGAAUUCACCCGGCCAGGCCCAAAUUGUCGACCCACAGAACAUGAGCAGAUGCAGAAGCUCUAACCAAGGAUUCCUAGAGAGAAAGAGUAGAGCCAUGAGACGAAGGGAGCCUGGGUCCCUAAAUCACCAUGUCGGAGCUCUUCAGCGAAAAGCUGACGCUGAGCUGCUACGUGAGCAAGAGACACCUUGCCCAAUCUGAAACGAAGCCAAGCAAAGCAACAUCACCUUCUGGAAAGUGCAGAAACUGCAAUCAAGAUCAACAAAGAAAAGCACCCUUCCCAUAGAUUCAUCUCUUUGGCGUUUAAGUGUUUGGGCGAGUCUACAAAACUCAGAUUCCUCAUUUAACUAGAUGUUCCAGGUCACAGAGAUAUUCUACUAAGGCAAUUUUCAAAAGACCAUAAAACCACCACAUCAAUUUAUGCUUGCAGGCUAUAGUGCAGUAAUAUCAUCAUGGCUCACUGCAAUCUCGACUUCUCCAGCUCAAACAAUCCUCCCACCUCAGCCUCCCAAGCAGUUGGGACUACAGGCACGUGUCAUUACACCCAGACAGGGUAUCACUCUGUUGCCCAGGUUGGAUUCCAGUGGCAUGAUCAUGGCUCAGUGCAGUCUCGACUUCUGGGGUUCAAGCGAUUCCCCCAUCUCAGCCUCCUCAGUGGCUAGGAUCACAGGUAUACACCACCAUACCCAGAGUCAUGCAGGGUGAGCCAUUCUUGCCACUGAGAAGUAUGUCAUAUCUGAGAACAACUGACCCAGAUAAUUGCUCAGUAAGAGUAUAUUUGAGAUUAUUGAAGACUUAAAAGCAUCUCAUUAUUAAAUGUGCUAUAUCAUGUUUUUCACUUUAGGCUCCAAGUGUUUUUGACUUGAUAAAGUUUUGUUGUGUUAAUUUUGAUCACUUUAAUCUUUUAUUGGAUCAUUUUCCCACAUUAAAUUUAAAUAGGAAGAACAUAUGUACUGCUGUUUUGCCAUAAACUCUGAUGUGCCUCAACUGGCUUCCAACUUCAGUCUGUUCUGGAAGGCUGUACUUACAGGUCUCAGCCAGCAAGCUGAAACUGACAAAGGAGCGUUCCACUUCUCUGCUGUAAAAGUUGUACUUACCUUGUUUUCAUGAAACCAAUCUCCGUUUCCAAGGAAACAAGAACAAAAAGGCAGUUGGCAGCUAGCAUCUGGGACUUAGAAGAACUCUCACAUGUCAAUUUCAACUGCUGGCUGCCGGCUCAAACGUAAAGAUGUGGGGUAUUAAAAUCACCUUCAGACUUGUAACGUACAAAAGAAUAUUAAGGUUUUUUCCUUAGUGUUUAAAUAAUCAAGUUUAAUAGCAAACCAUUUAAAAUAUCCUUUGAAAUACUAUAACAAAUAUUAUAAUUGUUAAAAAUUAUCUAAUACAAAAACUUGUUUUAUUUAAAAACAGUAGGCACAUAUAUUGCAGAUAUUUUCUCAGUUUUACACCAUAAAUUUUUGCCACUUUUCCCCUUUUACUUAAUCAUUUCACUUUCUCCUUUUUAAAUAAUGAUUCAUAUGGUCCCAACUACUUACUCCUUUCUCUUUUCUUUUUUUUUUUUUUUUUUUUUUGAUUCAUGCAAAAUAUCCAGAUAGUGUCUGUUUUAUCCGUAAAGCUUUGUGGCCAUGUUUAGUGUUUUAAUAAAGUGUUUUAAUGAUGAAACAUGAAAAUGCACAUUGUCAUUUUUCUCUUAAAAAUAUAAUUUCAUGAUUCUAGGCUUGGACACCUACAUUAACACAACCUGCU
rnacentral:lncRNA from 1 species